rnacentral:lncRNA from 1 species
GGGGAAGGGAGCUCGGCCCGAGCGGCUGUGGCGCGUGGCCUGAGGCGGAGAGCCGGGCGGGCUGCUGGGGUCUGGGCCCGCCCGGCGCCGGCCUGACCCGCCUCGCCGGCAAAUGCAGCCCGGGCUUCCUCCUCCCAGGCGGGCGGCGGGGGAGGGAAGGGAGGUGGAGGCCGGGGAAGGAGGGAAAGGUGGUCCUGAUUCUCUCGUGGCCAGAGACUACAAAACUGAUUCUGGCCUCCUGCGGAGACGCCUCUGCGCCCUCCAGCAGACCUGCUGUGCCCCCUCCCCAGGCACCCGGGCCCCGACAGGGUCCAGGAUGCCCCCCUCCCAGGGAGCCGCGGGCGGAGCUCCGAGGGACAGAGGAGGCGACCGAGAAGGAUGCUGCCGCCGCCACCGCCCUUGCCGUAGAGCCCGGGCUCCCGUAGUGCGCGAGGCUUCCCUUCCUAGGGCUAGGGGCUGGCGAGUGGCCUGGACGCCUGGGACCCCGCCUCUUGGAGUCGAGCGAGCGAGACACAGCCACCGCCCUCGGAAGAGCCGGGUUGUAGUGCGGAGCAUGAGACAGCGGGAGGCACCUUGGCCUAUCUGAAACCCCGGGCCUCGAGGCGGCUGCUUUAGGCGUCAAGUUGAGCGGGGUAUGUGUGCCCUCUUGGGGAAAGGGUAAGAAAAGGAGCCUGACUUUCCCUCCUCGGUUGGGGCAAACUGGGUCCCACUCACACACACCCAAACACAUGCCCAUGUGCAAGUCCCUCCCACCUGCCCUCCCUGGGGCGCAGAGACCCUAUCCGGGUGGAAGUGGGGAACCCCCAGUGCCCGCAGAAACGGAGUCCCUGGCGCAAGAAGGUGGAACGGGUUCCUCAGCCUGGACCCUGGCGUGGUGAACCCAGAAAGCCGAAACCCACGCAGCCAGCAACACCCAUCCGAACCUGGCGACUGGCGUGACCAGGCGAGCUCCGCGGGGCCGCGAUGCGGGAAGAGGUUGCCCUGGGGCGCGAACGCAGCGCACCGUGGGUAACCAGCAAAGCAGAGCCUCCGGGUUGAAGUCCUAAAGUUACUAAUCUGGCUCAGGGGUAGAAAGCGUGCCUCAGACCGCCCGGGGCGGUCAUUUGAGCGUGUUUACUUAAGGACUUUGCAAACCGAGCGCGCGCGAAAUAGUCGAAUUUCCAGCGAGGCAGCAAAUAUUUGCAGGCGGGAGAAAGAAGCGGAGCCGGGCCGCGCCGCAGCGUCCCUCCCCCCGGAGUCGCGGCGCCGGCCUGGGCGGACCCAGCCGAGCUGUUAAGGACUGAAAUGAAGCCGGGAACUUGCGGGGCUGGGGGGCAGGGAGAGCUCAGAGCGGCUCCAAAGGCCAGCAGGGGAGCAAGGCCCGAGGCCCUGGCGAGCCUGGGCUGGGGGAGAAGUCCCUUCCCAUUCCAGCUCGAUCAAUCUUCCUUGGCUGGGAUCGGUCAAUAAAAAUAGUGUGAAGCGGUGGUGGUAGCAGAGCGUCUGGGGAGGAAGUGGAGGCCAGAGGUGUCGAGGCCGGCGCCGGUGCCCCUCACCAGCCGGGUGCGCGCCCCCAUGGUCUGCAAACCUCAGGCCCGGGCCCAGAUCCUCUCGGGCCGCCGAGCGCGGCCAGGCAAGGCCUUUAAUUGGGUGUCUCCAUUUUAACAGUGUCCAUUGUUAGGGCAAUUAGCGAGAGACAAUCAGCACCGAGAGGCGUUUAAUUCGAUACUGUGCGCCCGCCGCAGCCUCGGCCGGGGCGCUUAGAACGACUGGCCGCGGCUUCCCCGGAGGACUGGGGAGGCGCCCGUUCCUUUCCUUGCGCGUUUUGUCUCAGGUGUGAGAGUGAAAGGUAGGCGACUGGGAAGAGAGCAACCUGAGACAGGCCUUGGCGGGAAACCCGUCAGGGCCUCAAAAUCUCUGCCAGGCGCCCCUGGGUGCCUUCUGGGCGCGCGCGCCCGGGCUGCGUCGCUGCCGGAGUUCCCAGGCCUGCUAGGAAAACGACGAGAGGAACGCGACCUGGAAACCAGUUUCCUUCUCCUUUUUGUGGGGUCCUCUCCUCAGCCACCCGAACCAAGUCCGAAUUUCCUUCCUGAUCAGAGAAGGCGGAGCAAAAGAGAGACCCUGGUUUGUGGCACGUACACACCUCCUUCUCGUACGGAGCCAGCCCCACUACCCCCUCCUCUGCCUCGGCCCCCGGAUUAGGUUACCGUGGUCGGGCAAGGAUUUUUACUGGAUACGAGAAUAACACAGGUAAAGCUGUAUAAACACCUCUCCGGCUGCCGGGCAGGAGGGUUACUCCGGGGACGCGGCCCAAGGCGCCACCGCCGGGCCAGGCUGCGCGGACCCAAACGCGGCGAAGCCCUCUCGGGAGCGGCAACCCGGCUGCACAGGUUAAACCAUAUCAUAUAUCCACGCCGCGCCCACCAGUGCCCUCUUUCUCUUUCCCGCAUGAGCUGAAAUGCAGAGUAGGGAGCGGAAUCACAGCGUGAUGAGAACCCCAGUGCUGGCUGAGGACCCCAGCUCAGCAAGUUUGACCCUUUUAAAAUAAAACACAGCGAGCAAGGACUUUGGGGAUAUGGAGAAAAAAAAGGCACCCAAAACUCACUCUCAACGGGAAGAUGCGGGAAGUGAACGCGUCCAAGGAGAGAACCCGUAGGAACUGCUACGAAAAGAGCUAUGUAUACUCGCCUUUUCUCCCGGCUCCCACGCCCAACCUCACGGGCCUGGGGUCUUCCCCCCCCCCCCGUGUGGAAUGAGCCACCUCUUUGGCAGUGAAAUGUGGUUUGAUUUACCCUUUUCUCUUUGUUUUUUGCUUAUUCAUCUGUCACUGCUUAAAACUCGGAAGGAAACCCGCCCAGGCCAGGAGGAGCGGAGAGCUAUGUGGAGAGUCAAAGAGAGAAGAGAUGCGCUCGGAGAUUACCCAUUCGCACUCCGCCCCCAGCCCCAGCCGCGGCGGGGGUCCCCGGUUUCGAGGGAUGCUGUCCCUCCCUCCGCCCCUACCACCUUAUUCCCAGGCUGAGAAAACCUCUGAUAGUAGCAAGAUAAAAAUUGGAUAGGUUUGGGGAACAGGUGGGAGCCUUACAAGAAGAGGAAGAGAUGGAGGUGUCCCAGGGGGCCAGCACCAGUCUCCGGAGCCGUGGCCUACUUAUCCUCCCCUCGCCCCCUUGCGCACCUCUGAUUCCCAGCUGCCUUCUCAGCCAGGGACUCGCUGUUCCAGACCUGGCCUCUCCUUCUGCAGGCCCUUCAGACGGAAUCGCUGGAGCAACCUGGGCCCUAGACCCGGUGCCCAGGUCCUAGCAUUCUUCGGGUGAAAGGGGGUGCCCUGUGGUUCUCAGACCGCCCCCCCCCGGGCUUCUGUCCAUGCCCCUUGACCCUCCGGGGUGUAGCCACUACCUCUCGGCUACCCAUCUUCAGACCCCCCUAGCAGCCCAGGCCUCUAGCGCCAGCCUUAGCCGCUCUCAUUUGGCACCUCAGACGGAAAAGGUGGGCUUUAUCUCGGGGGUUUUGGGCUUUUACUCCUCUAGACCAGCCCGAGGAAAGUGAUUGUUGCAGGAUAACGACCGUGGGAGUCCGGAGUGGAGGGGGGGCGGUGUUCCUCGCAGGGAUCGGGAAGAUGUGGGGAGGCUAAUACUGUGCGGAUCCUGGAAAGAGCACAGGUGGGCUUUUAAAAGCAAGAAGCUUUCCAGUCUCUGGGCUGGCUGGACGCUGCACAGCAAAAUCCGUGAAUGCGCAAGGAGCCGAGGUGCGAAGUGGAUGGCCUCUUGCACACCUUUCGCGUGGCCCUCCUCCCACCGGCCGGCUGGGUAUCAGCCUCUGCAGCUAGCGCCUCAGCGCGCGAGCGCUCGGCUCUCCACCGCCUGCCCCCUCGUGGACCUCCAGCAAUUUGUUAUAUAAAAUAAAACAGCAACCAGA